rnacentral:rRNA from 1 species
UACGUAGGGAGCAAGCGUUGUCCGGAAUUACUGGGCGUAAAGGGUGCGUAGGCGGCUUAUCAAGUCACAAGUGAAAUAUCCGGGCUUAACCCGGGGAGGUCUUGUGAAACUGGUAGGCUUGAGUUCGGGAGAGGAAAGUGGAAUUCCUAGUGUAGCGGUGGAAUGCGUAGAUAUUAGGAGGAACACCAGUGGCGAAGGCGACUUUCUGGACCGACACUGACGCUGAGGCACGAAAGCGUGGGGAGCAAACAGG